rnacentral:rRNA from 1 species
AGUCUGCUUGAAACACUCUAAUUUUCUCAAAGUAAAAAGGGAAAACCCAAAAGCGAACUCGAAAAAGCCAAACGAAUGGCAAACUCGACCACGCUAAAAUUCAACUACGAGCUUUUUAACUGCAACAAGUUUAAUAUACGCUAUUGGAGCUGGAAUUACCGCGGCUGCUGGCACCAGACUUGCCCUCC